UACGAAGGGGGGCUAGCGUUGCUCGGAAUCACUGGGCGUAAAGCGCACGUAGGCGGAUUGUUAAGUCAGGGGUGAAAUCCUGGAGCUCAACUCCAGAACUGCCUUUGAUACUGGCGAUCUUGAGUCCGGGAGAGGUGAGUGGAACUGCGAGUGUAGAGGUGAAAUUCGUAGAUAUCAGGAGGAACACCGAUUGCGAAGGCAGCUCGCUGGGACGCUACUGACGCUGAGACGCGAAAGCGUGGGGAGCAAACAGG
rnacentral:rRNA from 1 species